GUGCUUGCUUCAGCAGGACAUACACUAAAACUGGAACAAUACAGAGAAGAUUAGUAUGGCCUCUAAACAAUGCUGACCUGAAAAUUUAUGAAGUGUUCCGUUUAAAA